rnacentral:rRNA from 1 species
GAUGAACGCUAGCGGCAGGCUUAACACAUGCAAGUCGAGGGGUAACAGGAGUGCUUGCACUUGCUGACGACCGGCGCACGGGUGCGUAACGCGUAUACAAUCUACCUUGUACUAGGGGAUAGCCUUUAGAAAUGAAGAUUAAUACCCUAUAGUCUAUUGAGAUGGCAUCAUUUUAAUAGUAAAGGUUACGGUACAAGAUGAGUAUGCGUCCUAUUAGUUAGUUGGUAAGGUAACGGCUUACCAAGACUACGAUAGGUAGGGGCCCUGAGAGGGGGAUCCCCCACACUGGUACUGAGACACGGACCAG